rnacentral:rRNA from 1 species
CAGAACGUCGUGAGACAGUUCGGUCCCUAUCCGCUGUGGGCGUUGGAAAUUUGAGUGGAGCUGUCCCUAGUACGAGAGGACCGGGAUGGACAUACCUCUGGUGUACCAGUUGUACUGCCAAGUGCAUCGCUGGGUAGCUAUGUAUGGACGGGAUAAGCGCUGAAAGCAUCUAAGUGCGAAGCCCCCCACAAGAAUAGAUUUCCUUCAGUUUAACUGAUAAGACCCGUGGGAGACUACCACGUUGAUAGGUCGGAGGUGUAAGUGCAGUAAUGCAUUUAGCUGACCGAUACUAAUAGGUCGAACGCUUGACCAAU